UACGGGGGGAGCAAGCGUUGUUCGGAUUUACUGGGCGUAAAGGGCGCGUAGGCGGCCACCGCAAGUCGACUGUGAAAUCUCCGGGCUUAACCCGGAAAGGUCAGCCGAUACUGCGGGGCUAGAGUGCAGAAGGGGCAACUGGAAUUCUCGGUGUAGCGGUGAAAUGCGUAGAUAUCAGGAGGAACACCGGUGGCGAAGGCGCACAUCUGGCCCGAUACUGACGCUGAAGCGCGAAAGCUAGGGGAGCAAACGGG
rnacentral:rRNA from 1 species